rnacentral:rRNA from 1 species
GGGGAAUUUUGGACAAUGGGGGCAACCCUGAUCCAGCCAUGCCGCGUGAUUGAAGAAGGCCUUCGGGUUUUAAAGCUCUUUCGGCCGGGAAGAAUUCGUGCAGGCUAAUACCCGUUAUGGAUGACGUUACCGGAAUAAGAAGCACCGGCUAACUACGUGCAAGCAGCCGCGGUAAUACGUAGGGUGCGAGCGUUAAUCGGAAUUACUGGGCGUAAAGCGUGCGCAGGCGGUUUUGUAAGACAGUGGUGAAAUCCCCGGGCUCAACCUGGGAACUGCCAGUGUGACUGCAAGGCUGGAGUGCGGCAGAGGGGGAUGGAGUUCCGCGUGUAGCAGUGAAAUGCGUAGAGAUGUGGAGGAACACCAAUGGCGAAGGCAGCCCCCUGGGUCGAUACUGACGCUCAUGCACGAAAGCGUGGGGAGCAAACA